GACGAACGCUGGCGGCGUGCUUAACACAUGCAAGUCGAACGGAAAGGCCCUGCUUGCAGGGUACUCGAGUGGCGAACGGGUGAGUAACACGUGGGUGAUCUGCCCUGCACUUCGGGAUAAGCCUGGGAAACUGGGUCUAAUACCGGAUAGGAGCCAUUUUUAGUGUGAUGGUUGGAAAGUUUUUUCGGUGUAGGAUGAGCUCGCGGCCUAUCAGCUUGUUGGUGGGGUAAUGGCCUACCAAGGCGGCGACGGGUAGCCGGCCUGAGAGUGUGGACGGCCACAUUGGGACUGAGAGACGGCCCAGACGCCUACGGGAGGCAGCAGUGGGGAAGAUUGCACAAUGGGCGCAAGCCUGAUGCAGCGACGCCGCGGGGGGGAUGACGGCCUUCGGGUUGUAAACGCCUUUCGCUAGGGACGAAGCUUUUUGUGACGGUACCUAGAGAAGAAGCACCGGCUAACUACGUG
rnacentral:rRNA from 1 species